UUGGUGGUUUCGGCGGUAGAGCUAUGUCUGCUUUCGGAUUCACCACCGGCUCCGAUGUUCGUCCAGGUGACUGGUACUGCACCGUGGGAAGCUGCGGGACCCAUAACUUUGCUAACCGCUCCACCUGCUUCAAAUGCGGCACUUUCAAGGACGAAUCCACCGGUGGGGGAGGCGGUGGCGUCGGCGGUCCCGCCGUGUUUGACACCGAACUUAUGCGGUCAAGAGUCUCCGGCAACGCUGGCCGCUCCAGCUGGAAAUCCGGCGACUGGAUUUGCACUAGGUACCAAAUUAAUACAUUUGGUCUCUAUAGAUAACUAUGUUGACUAGUCGUAUUCAUCAUAUUUUAUGUUAUAUAUGUUGGAAGUUUAAUUGAUAGAGAUUAUUUAUUGGAAUCAGGAUUGGUUGCAAUGAGCAUAACUUUGCAAGCAGAAUGGAAUGCUUCAGAUGCAAUGCACCAAGGGACUUCAGCAACGGAAGCUUUUUCUAAGUUAUACAAUAAUGCCGUUGAAAGUAGACUUGUUUCCACUUUCUUGGGUAAUUCAUUUUGUAUUAUUCUAUAUUUUUUUAAUAAGACCAAGACUAGGAACUAUCUUACUUUGCUCGGUGGUUAAACUUAAGAUAUAUUUAUUAAAAUGUUUUUGUCUUUUAAAAUUUGAUAUUUUUCAGGCACCGUUUCAAUCAAUAGAAAAGGAUAAAGAGGAGCGAGAGAGAAUUAAAGAUGAUAAUUUUGUUAGGUGUUGCAAUGAGAGCCAAGGUUGUAACUUUAGAUGUCAUGUUUUGGAUGUAUUAUCCAUUUUGUUAUAUUUUCUUUUCUUCCUUAAUCCGUAAUUUUCUUUUGCAGUUUUUAAGAGUUUAAUUAUUCUAAUCAUUGUACGAUGCAUGUCUUUCUUAAAAGAAGAUUCUCUUCUCAAUUUCGUCGCUUUCUACAGAAGUUGCUACUUUUGUUUUUUUUGUUUCCAAGCCUUUUCAACCUGUAUCCUAAGAGCAACUCCAAUGAUGAGUUGGAAUCCUUAACAAUAGAAUAAUAUAUAUAUAUUUUUAAUUUUUUUUGUUUGAAUAGUUAAGGAUUCUAAUCAUAUUUUUUAGUCCAAUGGUGUUAUCCACUAUAGAAUUCUUAAGAAUAAAAUAUAAUUAAAUUUGUAAAACAUUUAAUAAAUUUGUAAACCAUUAAAAAUAAUUAAAUUUGUAAUUUAAAAAAUUUUAAAAGUAAAAAAAUUGUAAAAAAUAGUUUCUGUUACGUUGUUGGUUUUACUUAAAAGCAAACAUAAAGUUUCAGCGAAUGAACUAGCAAGGUUACGUCUCUUGAAACUAUAUCUCCAAGAUUCUAAGUUAUUACAACCACCAUAUAAGAUAAAAGGGAGGGUUGGUAUAUUUGAUCAAAACAACAGAGAAUGGUUAGAUUCAGUUCAUAUAUUUGAUCCAUGUGAGAGAGUACUAGUAGAGAAGCUUGUAAACAAACCUCUUGAUAUGAUCAAGUAUCAAAAGCCUUGCCCCUGGUGCUGGUGGAAUGUUUACUUCUUGCUCUGAUUGUUUCCUUCACCUGAAAGAAGAACAAAAACCCGUGGUAAGUAAAAAGAUAUGUAUACUCUUUUUGUAUUGGUUCAUGAACAAUCAAUCAAUCACCUUAUACAUUGUUCCUGACGCAACAGCGUAGCAAACAGCCCAGGAGAGUGCGUGUGCAGGCUUUACUUUCAAGCCUUUGCUCACAAAAGCGUACGCCAACCCACCACCUGAGGCUGAGACCAUGUUGCAAAGUUUGUCAAAACCCAAUCAGAAACAACGUCUGUAACAGGUUUUCAUCAAAUCAAUGUUUCCGUUCGGGAGCCAGUGGAGUCAGUGGCUUAGACUUUGGUGGUUUCGGCGGUAGAGCUAUGUCUGCUUUCGGAUUCACCACCGGCUCCGAUGUUCGUCCAGGUGACUGGUACUGCACCGUGGGAAGCUGCGGGACCCAUAACUUUGCUAACCGCUCCACCUGCUUCAAAUGCGGCACUUUCAAGGACGAAUCCACCGGUGGGGGAGGCGGUGGCGUCGGCGGUCCCGCCGUGUUUGACACCGAACUUAUGCGGUCAAGAGUCUCCGGCAACGCUGGCCGCUCCA
rnacentral:lncRNA from 1 species